AGUGAACAUUAAAAACUGGGUGCGCGAUGGGUCUUCCUGGCAACCGUAGUGGGUGUGGAGUGUGAAUCAAGCUCCAACUUUGAUAGGAGUCACAGGUGAACAGCCUCCAACAGAAAACAUGACAUCCAUCCUGCUGGAAAGAACAAACACAAAGAUGUAGAGUUUUGCUGAUGCUACAUUACGGGCUGAUUAAGGAGGUGUUGUCCUUCACAGUCAAACAUUUCCUCAUACUAUGCUUGGGUGCUGUGUGUGCUUUGUGUUGAUCAAAACUUGGCUGGCCACUGGAGGUGUGUACAGGG